rnacentral:rRNA from 1 species
GAUGAACGCUAGCGGCAGGCCUAACACAUGCAAGUCGAGGGGCAGCACGUCUUCGGAUGGUGGCGACCGGCGCACGGGUGCGUAACGCGUAUGCAACCUACCUCUUACAGUGGGAUAGCCCAGAGAAAUUUGGAUUAAUACCGCAUAGUAUACAGAUUCAGCAUUGGGACUGUAUUAAACAUUUAUGGGUAAGAGAUGGGCAUGCGUUCUAUUAGUUAGUUGGAGUGGUAACGGCACCCCAAGACAGCGAUAGAUAGGGGCCCUGAGAGGGGGAUCCCCCGACACUGGUACUGAGACACGGACCAGACUCCUACGGGAGGCAGCAGUGAGGAAUAUUGGACAAUGGGCGAGAGCCUGAUCCAGCCAUG